AGACUCCAGACUGUCUCCUAACUCACGUUUAUGUGUGUUAAGAGGGAGAGAGAGCAGGUUCUAAGCAACUUCUUUGACUUGGCUAGUAAUCCCGCCUCCUUCAAGCCUCCCCACAGGAAAUGAUUCGUGAAUGGCAAGGAGCGGCAGCGAGAGGGGCAGUUCUGUUGGAUGGUGCCUUUGCUAGGAGGGUGAUGAGAAAGCGAGGAUGAGCUGCCGGAGGGACUAAACAGCGACCUCCUCCCCACCCCGCCGCCGUUGUAACUCCGGGUAUUCUCCGCGCCCCGAUGGUGCUGUUGGUAGCGUUGGGCACGGUACCAGCUUGGCGGCGUGUGGCACCAACACAGGUGUGAAAGACUCUGGUUUUUCUCAAGAGUGACCUGAUGCAUGAGAAUGGCUACGGAAGUGAACAAUAUUCAGAGGAGUUACUCUAUCAUUCCCUGCUUCAUAUUUGUGGAGCUCGUCAUAAUGGCUGGGACCGUACUGCUCGCCUAUUACUUUGAGUGUACAGACACCUUCGAGGUGCACGUCCAAGGGUUCUUCUGCCAGGAUGCUGACUUAAUGAAACCCUACCCAGGACCAGAAGAAGACAGCUUCAUCCCCCCAAUCGUCCUGUACUGUGUGCUGGCAGCAGUUCCUACCAUUGUUAUUUUCAUCGGUGAGAUUUCAAUGUAUUUUAUAAAAUCGACAAGAGAAAAUCUGCUCCGCCAGGAGAAGACGAUCGUAACAGGAGAAUGUUGUUAUUUGAGUCCUCUGUUCCGAAGAAUUAUAAGGUUUAUAGGUGUGUUUGCCUUUGGUCUGUUUGCCACGGAUAUAUUCGUAAACGCAGGCCAAGUAGUCACAGGGAGCCUAACCCCAUACUUUAUAACCGUCUGCAAACCUAAUUACACAGGAACUGACUGUCGUUCCCGUUCACGCUUUCUAACCAAUGAACACAUCUGCACUGGGAACCCAGAGGUCAUUGCAUAUGCGCGGAGAUCCUUUCCAUCGAAGGAUGCGUCUUUGAGCAUCUACUGUGCCUUGUAUGCAACGAUGUACAUCACCAGCACGAUAAAGACCAAAAGCAGCAGGUUAGCCAAACCUGUCUUGUGCUUGGGUGCUCUCUGCGCCGCCUUCCUAACAGGACUGAACCGGGUGUCGGAAUAUCGCAAUCACUGCUCUGAUGUGAUUGCGGGUUUUGUACUGGGCAGCACAGUAGCUUUGUUUUUGGGUAUAUGUGUUGUUCACAACUUCAAAGGGACACAGACCACAUCUGUUAAGCAGAAACCCAAGGAUCCACAUGGAGUGCCAUUAAUGACAUUCCCUCGGGUGGAGAGUCCACUUGAAACGUUGAGUGCACAGCAAGGUGGGAGACAUCAGCAGCCCCCCCGAGAGGGGGUGUUUCGUCCCAGGGUCAUUUUCCAGGAUCAGCCAGAUACCCAAGUCAACAGGAGGUGAUUAGGUCGCAGAGGUGAUUCGCAUGGGUGCUUUCAUCUCCCAAUGAAAAGAGGGGGCGCAACCACUCUGCUUCAAUAACAGAAGUGACCUGAAGAGAAAUCUUUCUCUCCUUCUUUAAAACAAAUAAAAACACAAACUGGUACUUUUUUUUAUAAUGAGUGUUAAACUGUGGAAAGUGCAACUCAAGAACAUGUCUAGUUAGUAUCAGGUGUUUUGUACAUUUUGUAUGACAAAGUGUUGUAGCAUACCUUGACCUUAUAGUCUGUUUCAGUACCUUUCUCUUAAAGCAUAUGAUGUAAACAUUUCUAAUUUCUUAUGUAAAUUCAAGUUGUGUUUUGUGGUCUUUGUACAAUAAAGUGCGUGGUCUGG